rnacentral:lncRNA from 1 species
CAGCCGUGGGCUGCUGGGGCGCAGGCAGCGGGUGCGGUGGCGGCUGGUGCCCUGCCAGCCCCGCGCCGGGCUCCCGCCUCCAGUGGGUGGAAGCCUCACGUGGGGACUGGCUCGGUCCUGCUCCCACGGCCAGACCUCGUCCAUCACUUGCGUGGCCCUUGGUCGUGGAAAUAAUAGUACCUCUUUACCACAGAAGGUGUUGCAAGAGGAAUUUGUGAAGAACUGUCUGGCAGUUGGGUACUACAGGGAUGGAGGCCACAGAUGUAUCUAUAGAGGCAGAAAAAAGCCUUGAACUAAAGACGGUAAGAAAAUCAACAAAGAGGCUGAGUGAGAAUGGCCAGUUCAAGACUAAGAGAAGGAAGUAGUAUGUUACCCAGCCUACACUUUGCUAGAGGAACUCACUGCUACCAGUUAUCCUUGAGGUCUGGAUUCAUGACUCCGGAGAGGUUAGGAUAUCUGGAGAACAGCAAGCAUGUGAAGAGUUUGAACAGAAGAAGUUUUUGUUAUGCAGACACGGGAAAUAUAGGCAGUGCAUCUGGGUUUGAAAGCUCAGAAAAUCAGCCCACAAAUUCCAAAUAUAAGGACUGGAGUCUCCUCUGGGGUUGUCAACAUUGUCUUCGCUCUUCCUGCACAAGGAGACCCAAGGCACAAGGAGACCCAGGGACCUUCCUCUCCAAAGCUGGCUUGUUCAUCACUUCCUGA